UACGUAGGGAGCAAGCGUUGUUCGGAUUUACUGGGCGUAAAGGGCGCGUAGGCGGCGCGGUAAGUCACUUGUGAAAUCUCCGAGCUUAACUUGGAAACUGCCGUUGAUACUAUCUGCCUUGAAUAUUGUGGAGGUGAGCGGAAUAUGUCAUGUAGCGGUGAAAUGCUUAGAUAUGACAUAGAACACCAAUUGCGAAGGCAGCUCGCUACGCAUAUAUUGACUCUGAGGCACGAAAGCGUGGGGAUCAAACAGG
rnacentral:rRNA from 1 species